CCCUUAGAUGUUCUGGGCCGCACGCGUGCUACACUGAGUGGAUCAGCGGGUCAGGUUGCGCGAAAGUGUUUCCUAAUCUUUAAAUCCGCUCGUGAUGGGGAUUGACGGUUGCAAUUUUCCGUCAUGAACGAGGAAUACCUUGUAAGCGCGGGUCAUCAUCCCGCGCUGAAUACGUCCCUGCCCUUUGUACACACCGCCCGUCGCUCCUACCGAUUGAGUGGUCCGGUGAGGCUUUGGGAUCUGGGCGGAAAGAGCGUUUCGCUGUUUCUGCCCGGAAAACUCAGUCGAACCUUAUCACUUAGAGGAAGGAGAAGUCGUAACA
rnacentral:rRNA from 1 species